GAUGAACGCUGGCGGCGUGCCUAACACAUGCAAGUCGAGCGAACCCUUCGGGGUGAGCGGCGGACGGGUGAGUAACGCGUGGGUAACCUGCCCUAUACACACGGAUAACGUACCGAAAGGUACGCUAAUACGGGAUAAUAUUGUUGGAUGGCAUCUUCUAACAAUCAAAGCUCCGGCGGUAUAGGAUGGACCCGCGUCUGAUUAGCUAGUUGGUGAGGUAAUGGCUCACCAAGGCGACGAUCAGUAGCCGACCUGAGAGGGUGAUCGGCCACACUGGAACUGAGACACGGUCCAGACUCCUACGGGAGGCAGCAGUGGGGAAUAUUGCACAAUGGGCGAAAGCCUGAUGCUGCAACGCCGCGUGAGCGAUGAAGGUCUUCGGAUCGUAAAGCUCUGUCCUCAAGGAAGAUAAUGACGGUACUUGAGGAGGAAGCCCCGGCUAACUACGUGCCAGCCGCCGCGGUAA
rnacentral:rRNA from 1 species